rnacentral:tRNA from 1 species
GGCGCCAUGGCUUAGUGGGAAAGCGCCUGUCUUGUAAACAGGAGAUCCUGGGUUCGAUCCCCAGUGGUGCCU